CCUACGGGGGGCAGCAGUGAGGAAUAUUGGUCAAUGGACGAGAGCCUGAACCAGCCAAGUAGCGUGAAGGAUGACUGCCCUAUGGGUUGUAAACUUCUUUUAUAAAGGAAUAAAGUCGGGUAUGCAUACCCGUUUGCAUGUACUUUAUGAAUAAGGAUCGGCUAACUCCGUGCCAGCAGCCGCGGUAAUACGGAGGAUCCGAGCGUUAUCCGGAUUUAUUGGGUUUAAAGGGAGCGUAGGCGGACGCUUAAGUCAGUUGUGAAAGUUUGCGGCUCAACCGUAAAAUUGCAGUUGAUACUGGGUGUCUUGAGUACAGUAGAGGCAGGCGGAAUUCGUGGUGUAGCGGUGAAAUGCUUAGAUAUCACGAAGAACUCCGAUUGCGAAGGCAGCCUGCUGGACUGUAACUGACGCUGAUGCUCGAAAG
rnacentral:rRNA from 1 species